UGGGGAAUUUUGGACAAUGGGCGCAAGCCUGAUCCAGCAAUGCCGCGUGCAGGAAGAAGGCCUUCGGGUUGUAAACUGCUUUUGUACGGAACGAAAAGGCUCUGGUUAAUACCUGGGGCUCAUGACGGUACCGUAAGAAUAAGCACCGGCUAACUACGUGCCAGCAGCCGCGGUAAUACGUAGGGUGCGAGCGUUAAUCGGAAUUACUGGGCGUAAAGCGUGCGCAGGCGGUUUUGUAAGACAGGCGUGAAAUCCCCGGGCUCAACCUGGGAAUUGCGCUUGUGACUGCAAGGCUGGAGUGCGGCAGAGGGGGAUGGAAUUCCGCGUGUAGCAGUGAAAUGCGUAGAUAUGCGGAGGAACACCGAUGGCGAAGGCAAUCCCCUGGGCCUGCACUGACGCUCAUGCACGAAAGCGUGGGGAGCAAACAGGAUUAGAUACCCUGGUAGUCCACGCCCUAAACGAUGUCAACUGGUUGUUGGGUCUCUUCUGACUCAGUAACGAAGCUAACGCGUGAAGUUGACCGCCUGGGGAGUACGGCCGCAAGGUUG
rnacentral:rRNA from 1 species